GACAGAGGGUGCAAACGUUGUUCGGAAUUACUGGGCGUAAAGCGUGUGUAGGCGGCCAUAUAAGUCGGAUGUGAAAGCCCCGGGCUCAACCCGGGAAGUGCACUCGAUACUGUGUGGCUCGAGUAUCGGAGAGGUUGGUGGAAUUCUCGGUGUAGAGGUGAAAUUCGUAGAUAUCGAGAGGAACACCGGUGGCGAAGGCGGCCAACUGGACGAAUACUGACGCUGAGACACGAAAGCGUGGGGAGCAAACAGG
rnacentral:rRNA from 1 species